CAGCCACCUCCAAUCACUGGUCGACCACCUGAUUUUGGAACUAUCGUUGAAGGUCUCUAAAAGUUGGUUGACUCAUUGGAUAUUACUUGACGUUUAUUGUUUGAGCUUGUGAAGUUUGUAUCUACAAGAGGUUUCAGAUCAGCGAGUAGUCCAAAACCUGCAAGUUCCUUUAACUAUCAAGGAGAAUCUUCGGAAGGAGGUUGCAAUUCCGGAGACAGGUGCGUCCUUCAAAACCUUAAUCGGGGGUUCAAGCGUGGAAAAGUAUUUGGUUAAUGCUGAUGCAGUGUAAACUAUUGAUGGGAGUCCGACUUCUCAUUCUGAGAGGGUGUUAGUGGAGGAUUGUUCUGAGGAUGAGGAUUUCGAAGAGGAGCAGCUGGACUAUACUCUAUCCGAGGAUGGUUCAGGUAGGAGGUCAAAAUUUUUCAACUAUGAUGUGACUCGAUCCAGUUCUAUGGAGGUGGGAGAGACUAGUAAUGGGCUAUUCCCAGUUGAGGGAGGCUAGGGGGAAUUGGCUAAUACCAGUCUUCUUCACAUAAAUGGGGAGAGCUCUGAAAUGGUCCCUAAACGGCAAGGUAAGGAGCUGGAAUCUGUUGAAACUAUUGUUGGUUCUCUACAUUCUUCAGGUAAUCCUGUUGUUCCUGUUAAGGGUAAAUGGCGUGAUUUAUUUAGUAAUAAUAGAAGUUUAGAGAGUUGUCCUAAGCUUGAACAUUUCUCUGAGAUUAGUGCCAAGAAAAAUUGUAUUUUGCUUGGGGAUGAUCUGGAUGAAAACUGUGAUGUGUGGAAUAAUUGUAUCAUUGGCUAUGUUUCUGGUAAAUUCUCUGAUAUAGGGCUUUGAAUGGGCUCAUUGAAACAACCUGAAAGUGUUACGCAGUCUUGACUAUCCAUGAUCCUGGUUGGCUAAUUUAUAAGUUCACUAAGGAA